AGGGAAUAUUGCGCAAUGGGGGAAACCCUGACGCAGCAAUACCGCGUGAGUGAGGAAGGUCUUCGGAUUGUACAGCUCUGUCAGUAGGGAAAAAUGGCACUGCCGUGAAUAAUGGUGGUGUUUGAUGGUACCUGCAAAGGAAGCACCGGCAAACUUCGUGCCAGCAGCCGCGGUAAUACGAAGGGUGCAAGCGUUGUUCGGAUUUAUUGGGCGUAAAGCGCGCGUAGGCGGACCAGCAAGUCCGGUGUGAAAUCUCGGAGCUCAACUCCGAAACUGCGCCUGAAACUAUUGGACUAGAAUAUCAGAGAGGGAAGAGGAAUUUCACAUGUAGGGGUAAAAUCCGUAGAGAUGUGAAGGAACACCGGAGGCGAAAGCGUUUUCCUGGAUGAUUAUUGACGCUGAGGCGCGAAAGCGUGGGGAGCAAA
rnacentral:rRNA from 1 species